CGUGAGUGUUGGGUUAAGUCCCGCAACGAGCGCAACCCCUAUCUUAGUUGCCAUCAUUGAGUUGGGCACUCUAAAGAGACUGCCGGUGUCAAACCGGAGGAAGGUGGGGAUGACGUCAAGUCCUCAUGGCCUUUAUGACCAGGGCUACACACGUACUACAAUGGCCGGUACAAAGGGCAGCGACACAGCGAUGUGAAGCCAAUCCCGAAAAAGCCGGUCUCAGUCCGGAUUGGAGUCUGCAACUCGACUCCAUGAAGUUGGAAUCGCUAGUAAUCGCGGAUCAGCACGCCGCGGUGAAUACGUUCCCGGGCCGUU
rnacentral:rRNA from 1 species